rnacentral:rRNA from 2 species
UAGAGUUUGAUCCUGGCUCAGGAUGAACGCUGGCGGCGUGCCUAAUACAUGCAAGUCGAGCGAACAGAUGAGAAGCUUGCUUCUCUGAUGUUAGCGGCGGACGGGUGAGUAACACGUGGGUAACCUACCUAUAAGACUGGGAUAACUCCGGGAAACCGGGGCUAAUACCGGAUAAUAUUUUGAACCGCAUGGUUCGAUAGUGAAAGACGGUUUCGGCUGUCACUUAUAGAUGGACCCGCGCCGUAUUAGCUAGUUGGUAAGGUAACGGCUUACCAAGGCGACGAUACGUAGCCGACCUGAGAGGGUGAUCGGCCACACUGGAACUGAGACACGGCCCAGACUCCUACGGGAGGCAGCAGUAGGGAAUCUUCCGCAAUGGGCGAAAGCCUGACGGAGCAACGCCGCGUGAGUGAUGAAGGUCUUCGGAUCGUAAAACUCUGUUGUUAGGGAAGAACAAAUUUGUUAGUAACUGAUCAAGUCUUGACGGUACCUAACCAGAAAGCCACGGCUAACUACGUGCCAGCAGCCGCGGUAAUACGUAGGUGGCAAGCGUUAUCCGGAAUUAUUGGGCGUAAAGCGCGCGUAGGCGGUUUCUUAAGUCUGAUGUGAAAGCCCACGGCUCAACCGUGGAGGGUCAUUGGAAACUGGGAAACUUGAGUGCAGAAGAGGAGAGUGGAAUUCCAUGUGUAGCAGUGAAAUGCGCAGAGAUAUGGAGGAACACCAGUGGCGAAGGCGGCUCUCUGGUCUGUAACUGACGCUGAUGUGCGAAAGCGUGGGGAU